GAUGAACGCUGGCGGCGUGCCUAAUACAUGCAAGUCGAGCGAACAGACGAGGAGCUUGCUCCUCUGACGUUAGCGGCGGACGGGUGAGUAACACGUGGAUAACCUACCUAUAAGACUGGGAUAACUUCGGGAAACCGGAGCUAAUACCGGAUAAUAUAUUGAACCGCAUGGUUCAAUAGUGAAAGACGGUUUUGCUGUCACUUAUAGAUGGAUCCGCGCCGCAUUAGCUAGUUGGUAAGGUAACGGCUUACCAAGGCAACGAUGCGUAGCCGACCUGAGAGGGUGAUCGGCCACACUGGAACUGAGACACGGUCCAGACUCCUACGGGAGGCAGCAGUAGGGAAUCUUCCGCAAUGGGCGAAAGCCUGACGGAGCAACGGCGGGGGGGGGAUAAAGGUCUUCGGAGCUGAAAACUCUGUUAUUAGGGAAAAACAAAUUUGAAAGUAACAAUGCACGUCUUGACGGUACCUAAUCAGAAAGCCACGGCUAACUAAGUG
rnacentral:rRNA from 1 species